ensembl:lncRNA
AUGCACUUUCACUUACCUAUUUUAAAGCCAGGGAAAAACCCGUCUGACCCGUCUAGUUAUAGACCAAUUGCCUUAACAUCGCAGUUGUGUAAAAUAAUGGAAAGAAUAAUUACAGAUAGAAUGACCCAUUAUUUAGAAAGCAAUGACCUUUUUUCCCCAUAUCAGAGUGGGUUUCGUAAGGGGCGAAGUACAAUGGAUUCAUUAUUAUGUUUAGAAUCCGAUAUUAGGAAAGCACAGACUAAUAGGGAGGUGGUAAUAGCAGUUUUCUUUGAUGUAGAGAAAGCAUAUGAUAUGCUUUGGAAAGAAGGGUUAUUAAUUAAAUUACAACGAUUAGGAAUUGGUGUUAGAGUAUACAAUUGGAUUUUGGAUUUUUUGUUUAAUAGGAAUAUUCAGGUAAGAGUAGGUGCAGAAUUUUCUGAGGUAUAUACAGUAGAGAACGGAACUCCACAAGGUAGUGUAUGUAGCCCAUUAUUAUUCAAUAUUAUGAUUAACGAUAUAUUCUCAAAUAUUGACCAGAAAAUUGGAAAAUCCCUGUAUGCUGAUGAUGGAGCAUUAUGGUUUAGAGGCCGUAAUGAAUCUUAUGUUAAAGCAAAAAUGCAAGAGGCAAUUAAGGAAGUGGAAAAAUGGACAAAUAAAUGGGGAUUUAGAUUAUCAGUGUCAAAAACACAAGUCAUAUGUUUUUCAAAAAAGCAUAAGAUCACACCUGUAUCCUUAAAUUUGUACAGUCAGCCUCUUGAGCAAAUGAAGAUUAUUAGGUUUCUUGGGAUGUGGUUUGAUGAAAAACUGACAUGGAAGAUUCAUUUGGAAAAAAUGGUUAAUAAAUGUAAAAAGAUUGUUAAUAUCCUACGCUGUUUAUCAGGACAAGCAUGGGGAGCAAGCAUGGCAUCUUUAAAAAAUAUAUAUUGGUUACUAAUGAGUUCUGUCUUUGAUUAUGGGUGUAUAUCAUAUAUGUCAUCAGCAGAGUCUAAUAUCAAAACAUUGGAUGUCAUGCAAGCUCAGGCUCUAAGGAUAUGUAGUGGAUCUUUUAAAACAUCCCCGGUAUCUUCUAUGCAAGUGGAAAUGGGUGAGAUGCCUUUGAGGAUCAGAAGGGUACAACUGAUGUUAGCAUACUGGAUUAAUGUGAAGGGACAAGUUGAUAGCCAUCCAGCUAAAGCUAUCUUAAAAGAUUGCUGGGAACAUGGAAAGUCCAAUUACAAAAGUUUUGGGUGGAUUGGCGAUGCGAAAGCUGAGAAUAUUGGGUUACAUAAAUUACAGUACUGUUCAACGGUUUCAGUCCCUCCUAUUCCACCAUGGUUUUUCCCUAUACCAGAUGUAGAUUUAGGCAUUCAUAAGGAAAUAAAAAGUAAGUCAAAGGAAGUAGCAGUGAGGGAUAUUGUUAAAUAUUAUCUGGAUAUGCAUUUCUCUGACUAUACAUUCAUAUUUACAGAUGGUUCUAAGGAUCCAAAGACAGGACACGCUGGGUCAGUAUAUAUUCCAAAGAAUGGGGUAAUAUGUCAGGAAAGAAUAACAGAUAAUUUAUCAGUAUACACAACAGAGCUGGUUGCAAUUUUGUUGGCCUUGGAAUGGGUAGAGGGAAAUGAGUUAAAUAACUCAGUGAUUAUAUCUGAUAGUUAUUCAGCUUUAGAAAGCAUAAAAACUGGGAAAUCUAUAAGAAAUGAUAUAAUUCAUAAAAUUUGUAUGGUUUUGCAUAAGUUAAAUGCAAAGGAUUUAAAAAUCAGGUUUCUCUGGGUACCUGCACAUGUUGGAGUGAAAGGUAAUGAGGAGGUUGAUAAACUUGCAAAAGAAACACUGAAACACAAUAUAAUAUUACAAGUUCCAUAUAGUAAAUCUGAAGCUAAAACAUUCAUUGGGUGGAUCAAGAUAAAGGGAGGCAUUUACAUAAUAUACAACCAGAAGUGGGUAUAG